rnacentral:rRNA from 1 species
GAUGAACGCUGGCGGCGUGCCUAAUACAUGCAAGUCGAGCGAACAGACGAGGAGCUUACUCCUCUGACGUUAGCGGCGGACGGGUGAGUAACACGUGGAUAACCUACCUAUAAGACUGGGAUAACUUCGGGAAACCGGAGCUAAUACCGGAUAACAUGUUGAACCGCAUGGUUCAACAGUGAAAUACGGUCUUGCUGUCACUUAUAGAUGGAUCCGCGUCGCAUUAGCUAGUUGUUAAGGUAACGGCUUACCAAGGCAACGAUGCGUAGCCGACCUGAGAGGGUGAUAGGACACACGGGAAGAGAGACACGGUACAGACGCCUACGGGAGGCAGCAGUAGGGAAUCUUCCGCAAUGGGCGAAAGCCUGACGGAGCAACGCCGCGUGAGAGAAGAAGGUCUUCGGAUCGUAAAACUCUGUUAUUAGGGAAGAACAAAUGUGUAAGUAACUAUGCACGUCUUGACGGUAACUAAUCAGAAAGCCACGGCUAACUACGUG